GGUCAGAGAGUGGAAUAGGCUGCCCAGGGAGGGGGUGGAGUCACCAUCCCUGGAUGUGUUUAAGGGUCGUUUGGAUGAGCUGUUGGGGGAUGUGGGGUAGGGAAGAACUUUGUAGAGCAGGGCUGAUAGUUGGACUCGAUGAUCCCAAGGGUCUUUUCCAACCGGAAUGAUUCUGUGAUUCUUGAUUCCCCGCUGGGUGCAAAGCCAC